AGGAUAAACGCUGGCGGCGUGCCUAACACAUGCAAGUCGAACGCGCUUUUUUCGCAAGAGGAGAGCGAGUGGCGGACGGGUGAGUAACACAUGGGUAUCUACCUUGGAGUGAGGGAUACCGGCGAGAAAUCGCCGACAAUACCGCAUACGCUUCUCUUCACCGGGAAGCAAAGUUGCGCAAGCGACGCUCUGAGAUGGGCCUGUGGCCGAUUAGCUAGUUGGUGGGGUAACGGCCUACCAAGGCGACGAUCGGUAGCUGGUCUGAGAGGACGAUCAGCCACACUGGGAUUGAGAACGGCCCAGACUCCUACGGGGGGCAGCAGUGAGGAAUUUUCCGCAAUGGACGCAAGUCUGACGGAGCAACGCCGCGUGCAGGAUGAAGGUUUUCGGAUCGUAAACUGCUUUUCUCGGGGACGAGCAAGGACGGUACCCGAGGAAGAAGCCCCGGCUAACUACGUGCCAGCAGCCGC
rnacentral:rRNA from 1 species